rnacentral:rRNA from 1 species
GAUGAACGCUAGCGGCAGGCCUAAUACAUGCAAGUCGAGCGGCAAGUUGAGAAGCAAUUCGAGACCUAGAGCGGCGUACGGGUGCGUAACGCGUAUGCAACCUACCUCAUACAGGGGGAUAGCCCGGAGAAAUCUGGAUUAAUACCCCAUAGUACAUAUAGAGGGCAUCUGAAAUAUGUUAAAGAUUCAUCGGUAUGAGAUGGGCAUGCGUCUGAUUAGCUAGUUGGCGGUGUAACGGACCACCAAGGCGACGAUAAGUAGGGGUUCUGAGAGGACGGUCCCCCACACUGGCUCUGCGGUGCGGGCCAGACUACUACGGGAGGCAGCAGUAGGGAAUAUUGGGCAAUGGUCGGAAGACUGACACAGCCAUGCCGCGUGCAGGAAGAAGGCCCUCUGGGUUGUAAACUGCUUUUAUCUGGGAAGAAAAGGCCCGUGCGCGGGACAUUGCCGGUACCAGAUGAAUAAGCACCGGCUAACUCCGUGCCAGCAGCCGCCGUAAAAC